rnacentral:rRNA from 1 species
GAUGAACGCUGGCGGCGUGCCUAAUACAUGCAAGUCGAGCGAACAGACGAGGAGCUUGCUCCUCUGACGUUAGCGGCGGACGGGUGAGUAACACGUGGAUAACCUACCUAUAAGACUGGGAUAACUUCGGGAAACCGGAGCUAAUACCGGAUAAUAUAUUGAACCGCAUGGUUCAAUAGUGAAAGACGGUUUUGCUGUAACUUAUAGAUGGAUCCGCGCCGCAUUAGCUAGUUGGUAAGGUAACGGCUUACCAAGGCAACGAUGCGUAGCCGACCUGAGAGGGUGAUCGGCCACCCUGGAACUGAGACACGGUCCAGGCUCCUGCGGGAGGCAGCAGUAGGGAAUCUUACGCAAUGGGCGAAAGCCUGACGGAGCGACGCCGCGUGAGUGAUGAAGGUCUUCGGAUCGUAAAACUCUGUUAUUAGGGAAGAACAAAUGUGUAAGUAACUAUGCACGUAUUGACGGUACCUGAUCAGAAAGCCACGGCUAACUACGUG